UGGGCGUAAAGGGCGUGUAGGCGGCUUAGCAAGUCGGUCAUGAAAGCUCCCGGCUCAACUGGGAGAGGUUGUUCGAUACUGCUAGACUAGAGGGCAAGAGAGGGAGGUGGAAUUCCCGGUGUAGAGGUGAAAUGCGUAGAUAUCGGGAGGAACACCAGUGGCGAAGGCGGCCUCCUGGCUUGCAUCUGACGCUGAGACGCGAAAGCGUGGGGAGCGAACGGGAUUAGAAACCCCGGUAGUCCACGCCGUAAACGAUGUCAACUAGGUGUUGGUGGUAUAAAAUCCAUCGGUACCGGAGCUAACGCAUUAAGUUGACCGCCUGGGGACUACGAUCGCAAGAUUAAAACUCAAAGGAAUUGACGGGGACCCGCACAAGCAGCGGAGCGUGUGGUUUAAUUCGAGGCUACGCGAAGAACCUUACCAGGGAUUGACAUGCACGUAGUAGGGAAGCGAAAGCGGACCGACCCUUCGGGGAGCGUGCACAGGUGAUGCAUGGCUGUCGUCAGCUCGUGCCGUGAGGUGUCAGGUUAAGUCCUGUAACGAGCGCAACCCCUGUCGUGUGUUAUACGUGUCACACGAGACUGCCGGUGUCAAACCGGAGGAAGGCGGGGAUGACGUCAAGUCAGCAUGUCCUUCAUAUCCUGGGCUACACACACGCUACAAUGGUCGGGACAAUAGGCAGCCAAGCCGCGAGGCGGAGCUAAUCCUCUAAACCCGAUCUCAGUUCGGAUUGUAGGCUGCAACUCGCCUGCAUGAAGCCGGAGUUGCUAGUAAACGCGCG
rnacentral:rRNA from 1 species